ACUGGCCUACGGGACGCAGCAGUGAGGAAUAUUGGUCAAUGGACGCAAGUCUGAACCAGCCAUGCCGCGUGCAGGAUGACGGCUCUAUGAGUUGUAAACUGCUUUUGUACGAGGGUAAACCCCGAUACGUGUAUCGGGUUGAAAGUAUCGUACGAAAAAGGACCGGCUAAUUCCGUGCCAGCAGCCGCGGUAAUACGGAAGGUCCGGGCGUUAUCCGGAUUUAUUGGGUUUAAAGGGAGCGUAGGCCGGCUUUUAAGUCAGCUGUGAAAGUCCGCGGCUCAACCGUGGAAUUGCAGUUGAAACUG
rnacentral:rRNA from 1 species